UUCCGGUUGAUCCUGCCGAAGGCUACUGCUAUUGGAGUUCGAUUAAGCCAUGCGAGUCUAAGGGAUACUUGUAUCCCUGGCAUAAUGCUCAGUAACACGUGGAUAAUCUGCCCUCAGGUGAGGAAUAAACCCGGGAAACUGGGGCUAAUACCUCAUAGACACAGAAAGCUGGAAUGCUUCUGUGUUCAAAGCUCCGGCGCCUGAGGAUGAGUCUGCGGCCUAUCAGGUUGUAGUCAGGGUCAUGACCUGACUAGCCAACGACGGGUACGGGGUGUGAGAGCACUUGCCCGGAGAUGGUUUCUGAGACACGAAACCAGGCCCUACGGGGCGCAGCAGGCGCGAAAACUUCGCAAUGCGGGAAACCGUGACGAGGGAACUCCAAGUGUCUAUGCAUUGCAUAGACUGUUUUUCAGCCUAAAUAGCUGAAAGAGUAAGAGGUGGGCAAGACCGGUGCCAGCCGCCGCGGUAACACCGGCACCUCGAGUGGUAGCCACUAUUAUUGGGCCUAAAGCGUUCGUAGCCGGUUUGGUAAAUUCUUGGGUAAAUCGUACAGCUUAACUGUGCGGAUUCCGGGGACACUACCAGACUUGAGACCGGGAGAGAUCAGAGGUACUUGUAGGGGAGCGGUGAAAUGUUGUAAUCCUACAGGGACCACCAGUGGCGAAGGCGUCUGAUCAUA
rnacentral:rRNA from 1 species